CCCUCGGAACAUUUUAAGUAACUACUUAAUGAGAAGACUUCUGGUGAAGCACAGCCCAACAACACUGUAGGAGGCAGAAUUGGCAGGAAAACUGAGGACCAGGGGAAGAUUGAGAAUGGACUGGAACUCCCAUUUCUUGAGCACUUGCUAUGUGCUUUAUGUAUGCUGCCUCAGAAAAUACAAUCUUUUAAAGGUGCUGGGUAACGGGAAGCCUGCUAAGAGCAGCUGUGUUAACAGCAUCCCUUUCGAGAAAGGAUUCUCUGUGGAGGGUGAAAAAAGAGGGAGAAGAAGAUAGAGAAGAAGAAGGAAAGGUGGGGGAGAGACAACAACUUGCACACACAUCCACAUCCCUGCGUGCUGCUGCUGCCGCUGCCGCUGCCACGGCGGCUGCUUGGAUGCGUCUAAGAUGGCACCUUGGUGCCCUGCCACAUUCGGUCUCCUUGGUACCGAAGCGGCGCUCAGCGUCUUGUCACUGAGUGGAUGAUGAUUAUCUGCACCAGGGUCUCAAGGGUGCUCAAGCUUUGCUGGCGAUUGGAGCUGAGAUGCUUCAGCUGAAGGAUUUUAAAAGCUGUACAAGGCCAAAGAACCAUUACCAGUCACUUGCUGUGUGAUGCCUGUUGAAGAGGGGGUUCUUUUGCCUUUCUGAAUACCUUUGUAGUAAGGAGCCAGCUUCCUCCCCACCUCUUCUCACUUCUGCCGUUUUGUGAUCUUGCCAGUUUUAAUGAGAGCACAGUCAAUAACUAUGGAGAGGUGCUGACGACAUUACAAAGGAACUAGCCCUUAACAAGUCAACGGUAGAUGAGGUGCCAACAGGAUGGACAAGAGGAUUAAAGUAUUUAUGCCAAAAUAUUAGAAGCACACGCAGAAUUAGUUCUCCCCGUGUUAGAUAUUUUACUUUUGGCAAGUCCAUAUUUAAAAAUCUUUUAUCCUUGUUUUGCUUAAAGUAUUACAAUAAGCCCUGGAUUUUUCACAGUUACACUUGUAUAUUUUCACAGCUGUUUUAAUCAGAAAAAAUUAAUGUGCUUUUGAUAGCUCAGAAACCUAUCACUGGCAAAAGCUUUGCAAAAAUGUGCUGCAGAGUAGAGUGGAAUCCUCAACAUUAUAUACAUUUGCUGGCUAUUUGAAAUUCAUAGAAUUUCCCCUAAAUAUUUUCUUUUGCAAUUCUUGCCUAAAUGAAUCUAACAGCUUGGGCUGACUUCUUUGAUAAUCUCUUUUGUUAUGAAUGCAGGGAUUGCUAUUGUUAACAUUCUUUGGGAACCAAACAUGAGCUGUCUGUCACUGGAGGAAAAUACAAUUGCUAUUUUUACUUGUAUUGGAAGUAUUUACUCAAAUA